AAUAGUAGUCGGCGUUGGAUUACGAAAAAUUUGGUCAGAUCUGAUUGUUAGGUGACUUAGGUUGUUAUAACUAUGGAGGUUGGAGGAGGAAAAUAAAUAGUGAUGGUGUGCAGCUAGCUAGAGGAUGGUCGCACUCUUGCUGACUACAACAUUGAGCAAGAGUCGACAUUACAUUUGAGGCUUCAUGGAGGAAUUAUUGAGCUUCUUUGGUGGUUUUUGCUAGGAAGUACAAUCAGGAGAUUUGUUGCAAGUGCUAUGAAGUGUGAGCACAACAAUCAGUUGAGACCUAAGAAGAAGAUAAGCAGAUGGUGAAUUUGAAUUUGUGAACAUGUAGUUG
rnacentral:misc_RNA from 1 species